UCUAUCAGCUAUUGGCUUUAAAUUUGCAGAACUAAAACUGCAUAAGUGAUAGGAUACCCCAUAGAAAGAGAAAGGCUAUUUUUUUCUAAGAAUUUUUAAUCCCUCUUAUAAUUAAUUUUUGAGAGAAAUUUUAAGAGUUAAUUUAAGGAAAAAGAUUAAAAAAUUUUUGCAAGGUAUAAAAAGUUAAAAAAUUUAGACAUUAAAGAUUAAAGAAUAGCCCUUUAAUCUUUUUU
rnacentral:sRNA from 12 species